GCGACGCUGCAUCUAGUUGUUGGUGUCCAUUGCACCGGAUUUCGGAGGUCAUAUCGACCAUAUUGUGUCCAAUUGUCCGGUUGGCAUUUGGUGAUGCUGAGUGAGUAACGUAGUGAUUUUUUGCGAGGAUAUGGGCGUGUACACGCGAUUGUAUGAUGCGUUUCCGUGUAGUAAUUUUAGGUUCUGUACGAGUUUCGAAAUGAGUUUUUUUGAAUUGCGGGGUUUAAAUUGCGUUUUCUUUGCUUGCUGUGAGGUGUUCUAGCAGAUCGAUUUGAUUCCGCUGUGUCAUUGCUCUUGUUUUAGUAGAUCGAUUGGUGCAAAUUUUAAUUCUGAGGGAAUUUGACCCGGAUAUGCUCUUAACCAUGCUUUAGCUCACACUCGGCGUUUUGGUUUGUCUCAGAGGUCAUUCUCAGGUUGUAAGUCUACCUGCGAUGGUCAAUGCUCGCUUUAAAGGACCGUAGCUUGUUGAACCUCUCCCAGUAGUGUUCUGGUCUUGCUUCUCUCUGAUUCCGAGGUCAGAAUGAGAUCACUUUGUUAGUAGGCAAACUGGUCUUAGGGUUGCCUAUCAUGAAGUGCAUGACACUUUGUGGACUGGAUUUGAAUUAUAUUCGCAUCACCUGAACAGCAUUGAAAUGUAACUUUCCUGCUUUAAUUCAAUAAAUACGAGUGGAGGUAUCCAAAUUUGAACAAACUUAUGUGCUGGAAGUAAUACACGUGAGUUGGAGUAAAACUCAGAGACAGUUUUCCAGAAACUUGUCCACAAUGCUGUUUAGGCUCAUGGUUUCAUGUACUUCUAUGGAUUAAAAUGCUGAAUUGCGGUUGUCCUAGAUUGUAAUAAACAGAGGUUUGGGUGUUAAAUACCGUAAGAUGAGAACCUGGACAGAUAUGAACAGGAAGUUUGUUUCGUUCUUCGCGUGUUUACUCUUGGAGGAUGGGGAUCAUAAAUUCAACGUUGGAUGGUUUCAUGUCUGGAUUGGUCGAUUGGACCGGGUUCUUUGAAAUUAAACCCUCACAAUUACCUUACUCUUUUCUUAAACCAUUGCCGUAGUUUCAUGUUAAUCUGCAAUUGAUCCAACUUCUAAUGUACAUCAUAAUGGUGCUCGCGUACAUGAAUCAUUCUGUUCAAUGUACAUGUAUGGGAAUGAUACUGAGUAUACAACCACGUAGUCCUGAUUCAUUUGUCAAUGAUCUGAGAAUUCUAGUGUUCUGUAUUGCAACCUUCUCAGCUAAGGAGAUUAAAGGGUCGUUUGCGACUCGAUACAAUCGCCUGAUUAUAUUAAGGCUACUAUACAUUUGCUUCUUCUUUCGAAGGUGGAAAGAAUUGAGCUGUUCGAGAACCCCGAUUGCAUCUACUGCAAUUAGUGAAUGAAAUAGUUGGUCGCAGGGCUUUGUGGUGGAAAGAAUGAAGAUAGAAUCGAUGCUCUGUAUGUGCUUGAUAAGAAGAACAUCAUCUGGUGAUUGACGUUGGAGUUAACUCCUAUUCAAUAGGUUCGCCAGUUGGCUUUGACAACCAGGUUGUGGUUUUCGUGCUCUAUGAUUGGAAUAUUGGUCAGUUCUGAUCUAAAUGGACUCGUGUAUUACCUGUUGCAGUUUUUUACAUCAAACGCGGUCAUUAACAUCCAUAAAUACACCACCGUUUGAUGAGAGGGGUAUGGUACUAGAAAGUGCACCAGCACAAACAAACUUAAAGUACAAUUUGACAAGAGUCGCCUUGUGAAUCUCAGUGAGCACGUCCUAUUGGCUUUCCAGCUGCUCAGGUUUACACAUGGCCAAAAUUUGAUCAUGCGUUAAGGUAUCAUUUCAAGUUUGACUUGGUCGUUUUGAAAAGAUGCUUCAACAUAUGCAGUCAUUGGUGGCCAAGUGUAUAGUAAUGUUAAUGCCUUGUUCUUAUUUGGUGGCUGAAAUUAAAAUGGCUACUGGUGGGUAACUUCUUGUUAUUCUUCAUAUCUCUGAAUUACAGAGAAGUCUGUAGAGUUCUUGUUUCACUUUGGUGCUUCGAUCGGUUGGCUUUCUUGCUACAGAAAAUCCCCCUCUGAUCUGCCAUUCUUUUUGAAUUCUGGCUGGUAAGUCCACUGGUUCGAGAACUGAUCGGUUGGUGUUAAGACAAGCCCGUAUUUGGUUUCAGGUAAACAUUCAGAUGGUUUGCCAAGACAUAGAUGUAGGAGCUCUCAACGAAUAAUUAUUCACUUAAUUGUUCAAGAAUAAUCACUUGCUGCGUAAUAGUUUUUUAGGCAAGACUUCCAUCAAUUUCGAAUACUUGGUUAGUCUCAAAUAAUCAGUUGGAAAUAGCUUCUGUAAUCUUAGGCAAUGACCAAUCAUGCUAUGGAUGUUGUGUGACCGUUAAGCUCUGUUCUGGACCUUAGGAAGCCAAGCUUAUAUCGUGACCUUCAAGGUACAUGUUUUAGUGCUGACUUUGUUAGAAUUAACCUGCCUCCGAUGUAGUUCGACUAGGGCUGACGUGCCAUUAGGUCAGGAUGAUUAUAGUGUAACCACUAGUAUAACUUCGAGACUCUCCGAUGUCUCGAUUUUCUGUGUAAGAGUUCCUACUCAGUAUCGCCGCGAGUUGCCGGUGCUAUAAUCCAAUUACGAUUCCUUUAGAAUUUGGAGUGCUUCUGUCACUUAUUCUCCACUGAAUACUGCAAGGAUGGUUUAUUGCCUUGGAAGGUCAGUUUAACUGUAAAUUUCUGUUAUUUAUACUUGUGGUAGUGAAUGUGUGUAUGUAGAUGCUCCAAGAAGAAGAUUCUGGGGCCAGUUUCUAUAUGAACUCAUCCCCCAAUCCAUGAGUAAGCUGCAGUUUUUGCCACCAUAGGAGUAGCUUUUAGGCAGGAAAGAAAACAAAUGUAAUGCCAGUAAAUUCUUUGUAGAGCUUUCUGACACUUUGUGCAAGACAUCAUGACAGUCUUGAUGUGUAGGUUUAUAUGAGGCACUUAAGGGGAGAAAGAGUGUUGUUUUUACUAAAUGCAAAUGCAUGCCUGUUGAUAUUUCAUGGCAGGUAUGUUUCUUACUGGCUUGUUUGAGCUGCUCCAUCUCACAUGCUUCCCUUUCAGGUGAUUAUACAAUGAUCAAUAUAUGAGAACAGUUUCAGUGUAAAAUUUGUGGACUUUAGUACAUAACCAUGCAGAGAAUAGCAUAGUGAGACUUGUAGGAAUUUAAAGAUAUACUUGAAAAUUCACACUUUAAUCUACCUAGGAUGAAUAUUCUAUGCUAGCAUGUGAACUCACACUAUGGUUUUCCUACUUAAUUACAUGACUCUUCCUGUAUGUUGCAUUAUGAAGUUAAUCUUUCCUGUCAAUGAGAAUUUUUAAGUGUCUUAAUAAGGACUAUGAAACCCUUUCAACUUUUAUAGUCUGAAUAUGAUAUAUACGAGUCAUUAUUUCAAUAGUUUGUAUGGCAUUGAAUUUGUUUUCCAUUUAUCUGCAUGUCCAGCCAUUGGCAGUUAUCUAGCUUAGUUUUAUUUCAAUGAGAACCUGUUAUCUUUGUUUUAUUUGAAAAUUCUUAUAAUUGGCAGUCCAAGUUUGAGUUUGCAGGCUGCUUUGGCUGCAAAGAACGUGUAUGGCACUCAAAAUUACGUAUGACUGGGCAGUUAAUCUACAUAGCAUUGACAAUCCAGUCUAGGGUGCAGGCCUUAGCUCAGGUAUGUCAUUUUCAUAAUAUUUUCUGACUACUUUCUGAUAUCAAGUGAAAUAUAGAGUUGACAAACAAAGAAGUCGACAGAAGGUAAAGAGUGCUUCUGCUAGUUGGGUUUAGGCGUCUUUCUCUCUCGCUUAGUAGAGGGUGAUCUUUUUAAGACGGUUCAGUCGAAAGCUAGUGCUUUUUCUUUCUCGUUAUUCGAAACAUGUGUAUAUUAUCUAUUAUUUAGGCCUUUAUAAUCUCGGUUCAGUGGCUUUUUUUUAGGCCUCAUUAGAAUGCCACUGUCCUGACGAUGACUACAGUACCUCCUGCAGUUAUUUCAUGCAGACCAGCAAUGACGUAUCUUUUGUGUCUC